rnacentral:rRNA from 1 species
CAGUCGCCGCGGUAAUACGAAGGGGGCUAGCGUUGUUCGGAUUUACUGGGCGUAAAGGGUGCGUAGGCGGAUUGUUAAGUCAGGGGUGAAAUCCCGAGGCUCAACCUCGGAACUGCCUUUGAUACUGGCGAUCUUGAGUCCGGGAGAGGUGAGUGGAACCGCGAGUGUAGAGGUGAAAUUCGUAGAUAUUCGCAAGAACACCGGUGGCGAAGGCGGCUCACUGGCCCGGUACUGACGCUGAGGCACGAAAGCGUGGGGAGCAAACAGGAUUAGAUACCCCGGUAGUCCCUGUCUCUUAUAA